GAGGGAGAAAGGAAGAGGAAGAGGGAGAGGGAGAGGAAGAGGAAGAGGGAGAGGGAGAGGGAGAGAAGUGCAGACAAGGGUGUACCACAGCACACAUGGAAGCCAGAGGAUUUACAGUUAUUUUUCUCCUACCAUUUGUGUUCUGGGAAUCAAACUCUGGUCCUCAAACUUGUAUGGCACAUGCUUUUACCCAAUGAGCUAUCUUAUUGGCCCUAAUGUUCUGUUUAAAGAGGAAAUUUAUUAAAUUAGGGAGUGACUGUGUAAAGAUAUCCAAUUAUCUCUAUAUAAUGAGGAAAAUUCUAGAAUCCAAGUCACAUUGUCAAAGACCUGAUUUUAUUUCAUCCAGAUCAAGAGUUGGCAAACUAUAGCUCCUAAGGCAAGCUCUGUGUUGGGGUUGAUACUGUAUGGUCAGUCAGUGAGUCAAGCAUGUCAUCUAUUUUUUCAAGUGUCAUAAAAUCAUACAAAGUCACAUGCACCGAAAGCCAAGAUCCCCAGAUCCCAAGCCUGAGAUGCUUUUGGUCUUGCCCUUCAUUAGCAAGGUUUGUAAACAAACCUCUUGGAGACUAAUUUCACUCUCACAGUAAGUGCAUUUUUUCUUAAGCACCACAAACAUGUAAAGGAUCAUAAAAAGUUCUGAGGCAAACAUAAAAUAAGGGAUCAUCUGACUCCUUUUCUCUUUUAGGCCUUAGCAUUGCUAUGAUUUACACAAAUCCCUCUAGGACUGGGGCUGACUAGAUAGGUCUUCAGGGAUUUUCAUGAAAACUGAAUUCACCUUGGGACAAUCAAAAUAAUAGGAAUUGGACAAUGAUUAGAAGUUAGAAAAAGGCUAAUUUCACAGUGAUACAGGAAGAGAACUAAAUGCAGUUUGAUUGUUUUUUUAUAGGGUGAGCUCAUUAGUAGGUAAGUGAGCAUUCAAAAAAAAAUCAUAUUAGAGUCACUUCACACCUGUUAUGCACCACGAGUUUGAGUCAUUGCUGGACUAAAACAAAGGGCUUGACAGAAACUUUCCUUAGUUUCAGAGAUAAGGCAGAGUUGUCUGCAUAAACUGGCCUGGUCAUCCACACUGCAUUGAAAUUUCCCCAUUAUAUUCAAGUAACUUCUGUGGAUCCUCAAGAGGCUUACAUUUCUUCCACUUGCCUUUCUUUCAUUUGUCUGGUGUCAUUCAUUCUUGCAUGGCAGCUUAGUGCCAUGGUCACUACUAUCAUUUCUGCAAGUCAGUCAGCCAAGCACCAUUUUCUUCAGUCUCCUGGAGUCCUUCUCUGGCAAACAUGCUCUGCUUGGGCAAUUUUAAAAGCAUGGAGUGAAAUUUCAGGUUAGCCAGAGGAGGCCGUGGCACACCUUGAAAUCUUAGUUAAUACUGUGAUAAUGAAGCUAUUCUAUAAGAAAUCUCCUUUAAAGCUUCCAGCUAUGCAAGAGCUUCACCCUUCUGUGUCUACCUUGGACUCUGGAGUUCUUCUGCCUUAGUCUUUUGACCCACACCAACAUAAGACUCCACUUCCCACUUAGCUACCCUGCCUGCCUUUGAACAUUGAGAAUUUGUCUAACAUUCUGAGAUUUCUCACCCAAAGAACUGUUUACACAUUUUCUUAAGGAAUGGAGCAAACUACCUAGAGAUAACCACUUUUCUAGGAGGCUUGCCUUUAUUUUCCACUCCAGGAAGCAGCAGACUUCCCACUUAAGCCAGGAGGCCUUUUCCUUUGCAUCAUUAGGGAAAUGAUUCAUUCCCUGCCCAUCCCAAGUGUAGGUCCAGGAAAGUACCUUGCCAGGCUUUCCAAUUUGUUUGGAUCCCUACCCUACCCCACCCCAAGAUACAUGCCCAUUCUCCCUGUGGCACAGCCAGGACACUUGAUAACAAAUUUAAAGACACUACGUUUCUAUGUUUUAGCCAACAUAAGAAGAAAAUAUUAUCAUUAGAAAUGUCAAAGCCUCUCCCUAUCAAUAAUAUGUAAAUUUUACCCUGGCUACUAUGAAAAUUUCUUUUAGAGGUGAAUUUGUGUCCUUUUUUCUAUGCCCUCAUAUUUUUUUUUUUAAUUUGCCACAUUACAGGACAUUUAGUCAAAUGAACCGAAGUCAAUGAGAGAAGGAAACACAGGAACUGGAGCCUGGAGCUGGGGAUCACUGGAAGAAAGCUUAGUUCCUCAGGGAGCAUAAACAGUGGAAUCUGUUCCCUCUUUGCUUUUUUUUUUUUUUUCCAGGAUUUUGUCCCUAACUUUAUCUACAACAAUUUUGGCACUCCUUGCUCCGAGUUUUUGGAGACAAAGACCACUCAGGAAAGGAAAGCAGUAAGGGCAACUCAAAUGAACAGGUCCAAGGGGGUGGAGCCAAAGGGAUAAGGGAGAGGUCUAGGCUCUUGCCUGCUUAUCAGCCAGGCAGUACUGCUGAUCAAGAUGAAGAAGUGCAUUUGCAGAGGUUGUGGAGCCUGGUCUAGUCCUUCAAGGGGGAGCACUCCAAUCACUGAAUUACUUGGCAGUUCCAUAACUCUUACUCCUCCUUACCAUGUAGCAGGGAGUAAAGAGUGGAGGCUUUUCCCUUCUGGAAAAAUAUCUGAUAAAAUUAUUUUCCCUUUUCUUUUUCCCUUCUUACAUGCAGCCCCAGGCAGGAUAUUGUUGUGGGAUCAUCAGAUUCAAAGAAUCCAAAGGAAGAAAAGAAAUGUGAGCAGGGGCUGGAGGUAGUGUUGGAGUAAGGGAAAAGAGGCCCUGGGGAGGGAUACCCAGGUAAAAAGGAUUCUUAGUCACCUGAUAGACUUUUAGGUCAGCUGGAGCACGAAAGUGUUGCCUGGUGGUUACUAGCCACAAGUCAGACUCUGGUCACUAAUCUUUCUUGCCCCUGAAAAAGUGGCGCUUGUGGUCGUCUGGUAGGUGUUUACACUAGCUUCUUGUGGGACAGAAGAGACCUAUCUCUUUAGAAUGAGUUUCCAUUCUAUACCAAAUUUCCCAGUAACAACAGCACAGUUGUCUACUGUGGGCAUUUAAAUUACAUAAGUCAUUGGUUUAAUUUAUUCCAGGACAGAAAAUAGUAGUAUUAACAAACAAAAGAAUCCCAACACAAACCCCGGGAAGUUCUUGGAGAAAGUACAGAGCCUUGGUUGGCUUAUAAAGUCUAGAUGGGUUGGGAAUGGCAGCCCCAGCCCUGCCCUUUACCCUAAAGCUGAGACACCGAUAUUUUCACCGAUAUUUCCUCAAGGUUUGCAGAGGUUCGUAUGCUCUUUCCACCCUGCCCCCUUCAGCCCAAGACAAGGUUGACACUGGCGAGCUGAGGAAAUAAGAAAAGACAGCACUCCACCCAGGCUUGGGUCAGUGCUGAGCUAAGGAACCAAAAGAGUAAGUACAGAGCAUCUGAUGAGGACUCCAGGCCAUGGUCACCCACCUGUGCACAGGGUGGCAUCAUUCUGGGCAUUUUAGUCUAAGCAGUUUUACUCCAUCUAAAUGGACAUGUCUGGGGCUGCCAAUCAUGUGAACCCAGAACCUAACUAAACUUCUCCUCAGCCAGCUCUUUUUGGAGUGGACCCAAAGGCGACUGCACAGAAGACUGGAAGCAAAGAGAUCUUGUGGGUAGAUCUAGGUCACUCACUCUACAGAGCCAUGGUGAGUGACCUUUAAGGUAUACAAUGGGGAUUUAGGAGCUCCGAAGGGUUAAAAGCAAAAUGAGUAACUCACAACACUGAAAACCUCUAAGAACACGAGUUGGGAUGAAGAACAACACCCCCCCCCCCCCAAUGCAGUAAAGUUUGCUAUAGACAGAGCGAAUACUAUUUUUUUUGCCAACCUAAGAGGGGAAGCGCUUAAGAAGUAAGAGUAUGCGUGGGCAGCAGGAGGUGUCUUGGCCUGUCCACCAGCUUUAGACUCUGAAAGGAAGCAGAGCAAGAAAAUUCCAAAGAGCAAUGAAUGUGUGUGCAUGGGGAAGACUGGUGAGCAGAAGGACUUGGUGUGUACACCAAACCACCUCCCUACUAGCAUCUGCAUGGUUUCUGCAGGGGCGACUCUAGCUUUCUAAUCUGAAAUUUAAAAUUGUCCUAUUUUUUCUCUGCCUCUUCUUUAUUCCAGACUCCUCCACUAACUUCCCUCAGUCCUCCUUGAAGGUUUCCUGGCCCUUACUGGGAAUGGCUAACCUCACAAAUUCUUUAUGUCCAUGUCCUGGAAACAAUAGGUGUCUGGACCCUUCUCUGGAAGCCCUUGUUUUCUCAAUUAAGGAGAGUUACAGAACUUUUCCUUCCUUCUGUCUGCGUUCUAGCUCCAACUUUGAGCUCUGCACCUUCAGCCACGCAGAGGAGCUGGCAUCACCGAGCACUGAGCACUACCAGAGUAAGCUCACACCUAGUUCCAGCUAAGGAUUCCCAGUUUUUACAGUUAAAAGCAGGAACGCGGCACCACAACAGUUCUAGCCACAUUCCAAGUGCCUCAAAGCAGGAUGUAGCCAGUAGCAUCAUAUUAUACUAUGCAGCCUCUGAUGGUGUGUGCGUUAGCUGGACCUGAUCAUCUCCCAGUUCCAUCGAAAAACCGGGAUUGAAAAGCGUUCAGUUCAUUAGCUUGAAGGUUGUGCUGCUUCCUGCUCUAGAAGGGCUAACGGAAAAUACAGCAAGAGAUAAUUAACCGUGAAGUUCUUCAAUCUGUAUGGGAGGGUGCAGCAAGGAAAGUCAAUGAAGAGUUAAUGGAGUGGCACAGACACACAGUGACAAACUGAAUAUAAACUUUUUGGAAGUCUAGACAAAAGUGUAAGAUGUUGGACUGCAUAGGUUCCAUUUUCUGACGACCAGAGGAUAAAAUUCCUCUCAAACAGGAACUGAUUACACGUGUUAUAAAAUGAAAAUUGAAAAACAAUAUGGAAAACAUCUCACUCUGGCUUUAUUAGACACAGAAGAGUCAUUUAGAUACUGGGUUGUCAUAUUAUUCUUAAAUAAGAGCAGCUGCCCAUACAUAUUGACCUGAUAGUUGUUAAAUCCUUUCCACAAGGCUGAAGAGACAGAGCGUCACACUUCCUCCAAAGCCUGACAUUACAUGAUUGGAGCCCAGAGAAUGAAAACUGGCAUUUAUGUGCUUCAACUCUCAAAUACCAGAUGUUGAAAAAUUCAUCAGGCACAUGUUUAGUAUCUAUAAAAAUAAUGAGAAAGUCUCUAAACAAUACAGAAUUUUUCUGAGCUGUUUGUCCAAAUGAGAGCUACAUACUUUUAAUAUAGGAUAGGUAAAAAUAAACAUAUCAUUGAAAUUUUAAAACCUGGAUUUGUCAUCUUGUGCAGACAGUCUGACAACUUUCAACUUCCAAUGAGAUUUGAAACUCACUGGUCAGGAGGGGCAGCAGCACAAAGAAUAAUGGAUUGGGCUGUGCCUAUAAGUUUAUGAAGGCAAUAUCACUGUUUAUCUCCAUUCUGCAGGAAAGAAAACUGAGGCACAGGGAAAUUAGAUCCUAACUGCUCUGAGUACCAAGUCUUCUCUUCUCCAAGAACAAUACUGGUCCCUGAAAAAUCUGUAAACUGCUCCAACCUACAGGAUAAAACUAUUCCUCAAAUGCAUGUGACCAUUUAGGCAUAUCUUCCAAUUGCUAUUGCCUGCCAUUUUUUCUAAAAGAAAAUUUGUUGGAUGCCAAAAUAAGUAAUGUUUAAAAAAAAAAGAAACUUAAAUAGCAGAAUGAUUCCCCGUAGCUAGCUGAAAGUUGGGUGUGGUGGUUCACAUCU
rnacentral:sRNA from 1 species